GGUUUAACUAUGGCGGAGCACACUGUAGAACAAGGAAAAGAAGAAGAGAAAGAAAAGCACAUAUCGAUUCAGAGAGGGUCAGCGCCUUGUUUCUACCAUGAGGAAGCAGGUGGAACUGAUGUUGUGAUGGAGGACAGUACCCCGGCUGCUUCAAUGGUUACAACAGGUGCAGGAAUGGUUUGUGACAUUAAACAGUUGUCUGCCAGUAGAAGUUGUUGGGAUUUCCAGCCAAGUGAUUGGCAGUCAUCAUUGCUUAACCAGAUUUUGAGUAAAAAUGACAGAGAUGAGACAAUUGCUCAAGUUGGAAGCAUUAAACUGCAGCAGAAAGAUUUCUUGACCUUGGGCCUCAAUGCAGCGCUUGAGGCAACAAUUGCAAACAGCUGUCUUGAUGUGAUCGUCAUGGUGGCUAAGGAAAAGGCAACAGAUGUGUUUGCAGCAAAUUCCUUGUAGUUACCUGGCUACCACCACUUGAAUUGGACCCAUUUUUAUCAUUUCCAGAUAACAUAGGAUCCAAGGAUUACAUUCUGCUCCCUGCUUGGAUGCCAGGACACUGAAUGCUAUGUGUAUGUUGUUCCCUUCAUUUUUGGUAAAUUGACAAACAGAAUCGCUCCAGGACCAUGGAAGCUGAUCAAGAACAAGGGAUAACUUAAUGAUAAUUGCAUUGUUUUAGAAUGUUCCACAACAGCUGACUGGCUCUGUGGACUGUGGGAUCUUCAUGCUGAUGUCGGAUUUUCCUCUUAUUCGAAAAUGGUGGUGCCUUAUUCUCAUGGAGAAUUUUGCCAUUGAAAGGAAACAUGCUGCCGUUGAUGUGCAGGAGCCACCUAAAGCACAAGAAGACACCGAAACCGGCGACAUGGAACCACAGAUGGUCAAAGACCUCAGGACCGCAGUUGGAUGGCUGCGGGACAACUGCCACUCCUUCAGAGGUUCUGUGCAAGAGCCGUCAUAUCUGGACCUAAAGAAGGAAGACCAGGAAGAGGCCCUUCUUAAACUUGAUCGGGCGGAAAGAAAAGAUGAUCUGGAACUGGCCAAAAAGCCUUUCAUGUUUCAGUUCCAGUUUCAACAGGACAUGGAAGUUUUUCUUUUCGAAUGUCACGACGAAAGGCACCUCAGAAUAAACUCCAUGUUUAUGGAGUUUUAAUUUGUUAUUUAUUUUUCUCUUGAGAAUUAUUGAUGUAAAAUUUGUGCCUGUAUAACUUUUAUAAGAUUUAUUUUCUUUGGUUUAAUUUGUUUUAUAUAAUUUAUUUAUCUAGUUUGAUUUUGUAAUUUUAUUUAAUUAGAAAACAGCUAGUGUGUGAUUUUAUUUAAAACUCAUUUUAUUUAAAUUAAUGUUUUUUUUGUUUUCAGUCCAUUAUAUUAUUGUGUAUGGUGGUCUAUGUUGUUUGAGUAUUUAAAGUUAUUUUCAACUGAAUAAAAUGUUCAAACUCUCAA